AGGGCACCACCAGGAGUGGAGCCUGCGGCUUAAUUUGACUCAACACGGGAAAUCUCACCAGGCCCGGACACUGGAAGGAUUGACAGACUGAGAGCUCUUUCUCGAUUCGGUGGGUGGUGGUGCAUGGCCGUUCUUAGUUGGUGGAGUGAUUUGUCUGGUUAAUUCCGAUAACGAACGAGACUCUGUCCUGCUAAAUAGUUCCCGCGUCCUUUGUUGCGCGGGAAAUUCUUCUUAGAGGGACUGGCGGCGUCUAGCCGCACGAGAUUGAGCAACAACAGGUCUGUGAUGCCCUUAGAUGUUCUGGGCCGCACGCGCGCUACACUGAAGGGAUCAGCGUGUCUUCCCUUCCCGAGAGGGACGGGUAACCCGCUGAACCCCCUUCGUGGUAGGGAUCGGGGCUUGCAAUUGUUCCCCGUGAACCAGGAAUUCCCAGUAAGCGCAAGUCAUAAGCUUGCGUUGAUUACGUCCCUGCCCUUUGUACACACCGCCCGUCGCUACUACCGAUUGAACGUUUUAGUG
rnacentral:rRNA from 1 species